GUUGUAUGGUUAAGUGACUAAGCGUACACGGUGGAUGCCUUGGCAGUCAGAGGCGAUGAAGGACGUAUUAACUUGCGAUAAGCCCAGAUUAGGCAGUAAAAGCCACUUGAGUCUGGGAUUUCCGAAUGGGGAAACCCAACUGCAUAAGCAGUUACUGUUAACUGAAUACAUAGGUUAACAGGGCGAACCGGGGGAACUGAAACAUCUAAGUACCCCGAGGAAAAGAAAUCAACCGAGAUUCCGAAAGUAGCGGCGAGCGAAAUUGGACUAGCCCUUAAGCUUUACACGCGUUAGACGAACGGUC
rnacentral:rRNA from 1 species